rnacentral:misc_RNA from 1 species
UUUUUUUUUUUUAAAUCUUAUCAUAGAUAAUGGCUGGCAUAGUCUAUGCCUUGAUAUCACAUCCAGCACCAUGGAGUUGCUAUGCUUGCUAGUGUUUUUUUAACAAACUCAAGUUUUGUAUUUAUUACCUCUAUGCUUUUAGAUUGAUGAAGGAUCUGAAGAAUAUUUCCUAAUUUUGACUGGCAUUUAGAAUAUUGUUUUGAUCAAGUCUUGAAAAAUGAUGAAUCUUGAUCUUCUCUAUUUCUUACUUCUCUAUAUUAGGCACUUGUCACUAUUCGCUGAAUAGCCAUUGUUUUCUUUGCUGUUAAUGCUUUUUAGUUUUUCAUUUUCUGUUAAGUAUCUAGGCACUAGCCACUAAUUGACCUUGUUUUCCCUUAUCUUUGUAUAUGAUGUCUGAAUUCUUUUCCCUUUUGAAUAUAUCAGAGGCAUAGAGAACCACCAAAAUU